rnacentral:rRNA from 1 species
ACAGAGGGUGCGAGCGUUGCUCGGAAUUAUUGGGCGUAAAGCGCGUGUAGGCGGUCUCCUAAGUCUGGUGUGAAAUCCCGGGGCUUAACCCCGGAACUGCAUUGGAUACUGGGAGGCUAGAGGACGAGAGAGGAUGGUGGAAUUCCUGGUGUAGGGGUGAAAUCCGUAGAUAUCAGGAGGAACAUCGGUGGCGAAGGCGGCCAUCUGGCUCGUUCCUGACGCUGAGACGCGAAAGCGUGGGUAGCAAACAG